AAAAAUUCCAAACUGCGACGAGGUGAAUCUACUGGAGUCAUCAAUUCAAAGAGCUACAGAUAUAGAGAAAAUUUUGCUUAGUCUUCCGGCAUCAUUUGAUAGGUUUCCAUUAUGGAUCUCUUAUAACAGCACCCCACAAGAUUGCAACUUUCAGAUUGAACAGAAGGAAACAUUUUCAGACAUGUUUGAGGCUGUCAAAGAGUACAGUCAUUUGAUUGUCACACCACCCCUGCAACUGGCAAAUAUGGGAGUAGAGGGACCUCUGCUUGUGUAUCUCAGUGAAGAUAAUUUAGGUGUUUACUUGAACAAAAGCAAGGCAGACCGGUAUGAGAUUAAGGUUUACGACUGUCUUUCUGGAAAAGAGGUCACAAAAAAUGUGAAUGAUCUGUCUAGAAU